AUGAAUUGAAAGCGGAAAGGAAGAGGAUUCACCCACAGUUGAGCUGGAAAUCAGAGGGCCGCAAGGGAACCUUACGGCUUACAGCAGGCUAAUAUAUCUAUAUAGGAAACAAAGGCAGUCGAAGUAAAGAACCGACACGUGUCUACUUUCCUCGAUCCGCAAAACCCUCACUAAAAUCCAUAGCCUUGUCCCUCGUUCAUCUGUUCUCCCACUUCUCUCUGUCCAUCUCCUUCUUAUUAACACAACCCAUUUCGCUUUCUGAGAAACCACCCAUCCAGACUGCUUUGAUUUUCUUUCCUUGUUCCUUUGGAUUCUUUGCGUUUGAGAUCUGUGCUAUCUCUUUCUCUAUCUCUGCUUAUUAUCACCCAGUUGCCUAUUGACAAGAGAUGAAGCCUUGAAGAUGUUGCACAGACUUGGUUUUUCUCUGAGUACUAUAUAAAUGGAGUACGACUAAAGAAUGCGCCUUUGAGAAAAGUGGAUAAGGGUGCUACCGGUUGGGUUCCAUUGCUUGGAGGACAGCAUUGAAGUCAAGGCCAUCUUUGCCUCAUUGGGUAAGCAGUGUUAGAUGUAAUGGACCAUUUGUAAAAGUUCAACCCCACCUUCUUAGGCACACCAUUUACAUUUACAGCAUUGACAUAGUACAAUUUUGAAUGGGGGAAAACCUUUAUAGCUCCCAAAGCUUUUUCUAUCUGCAUCGAUAGAUGAAAAGAAGCAGUGGCUGGCGGCAACAGAAUAAGAAAACUGAUUAGCAUGCGACAAGCAGCUUCGGUAAGGGAGAUAAACAUUUUUCUUUCUUUUUUUUUUAAUCAAAAUGAGAGUCAUUUGAUCGGAGGGACGGAAAAACUAGGGGCUGAUAAGCAAACCCAUUUGCCCGAUGGAUUUACUAUGGACCAUCCAGCAUUUGCCAUUAUUAGGAACCUGUAUGGACCAUCAACGUAGCAGAAAAACAAUGGGCCAACCCACCAUCAUCUUUUCUUGUCAGAUUUUAUCCUCGACAGGCACACUUGUCCGAAACCAAACGAAACUGCAGGAGAUUGAAGCCAAUUAGGGGACCACUUCAUCUUAUGCUGGUGCUCUUUAAAAGAGAAAGGAUUGCCAUUGGAGCUUAUAUGGAUGGCAGGUAAUUGUCAUUUGGUUGGCUAAUUAGUCAUUCUAUCAAGUCGAGGGUAGCUUCAGUCGUGUUCACGAUGAGAGCUACAGGUUUCAGAAACUCGAGGAUCAGGAUGGCAUGCAAAUGAAACCAAGUUUCAGCCGUUACAAUCAUGCUUAUUUAAUUCUGGAGUUGCAGUUACAAUUUACAGGCUACUACUUUUUUGUAUUUUUUCCUUCUUGGGAGGUUACAAGCAAAGGCUCACAUGCAUUUCAUGUGCCUUUCAUGGUGGAUAAGGCGGUCCCUAUCGAGAACAGUAUACUUUUCUUUAAUUAGAUUGCCAUCGCCCCUAAUCCCUACCUCUAAGUAGUAACAGAAGAAAACUGGGGAGGAAGGACAAAAAGAUUUUCCCAUCGAUUCAUGUCAUUGCUCACAGGAGCUGAAGCGAAGGGCCCGCGAGACUUAGGAUGACAAUGACAAUUUAAAUUACUGAUUUAAUAGAUUAUGUAUUUUAUUUUAUGAGUAAUUUCUCUUUCUUUCCAUGUAUGGAAGAUUCUUUUAAGUCUUUUUCAUAUUCUUACAUUAUUAUUAUUUUAAAAGCGGUGACAA